rnacentral:pre_miRNA from 1 species
AAAAUACUCCCUCCGUCCGAAAAUACUUGUCAUCAAAAUGGAUAAAAAGAGAUGUAUCUAAAACUAAAAUACGUCUAGAUACAUUUCCUUUUAUCCAUUUUGAUGACAAGUAUUUCUGGACGGAGGGAGUAUAAA